GAUGAACGCUGGCGGCGUGCCUAAUACAUGCAAGUCGAGCGAACAGAUGAGGAGCUUGCUCCUCUGACGUUAGCGGCGGACGGGUGAGUAACACGUGGAUAACCUACCUAUAAGACUGGGAUAACUUCGGGAAACCGGAGCUAAUACCGGAUAAUAUAUUGAACCGCAUGGUUCAAUAGUGAAAGACGGUUUUGCUGUCACUUAUAGAUGGAUCCGCGCCGCAUUAGCUAGUUGGUAAGGUAACGGCUUACCAAGGCAACGAUGCGUAGCCGACCUGAGAGGCGGAUCGGCCGCCUUGGAGCGGGGACAGGGUCCAGACUCCUGCGGGAGGCACCAGUAGGGAAUCUUCGGCAGAGGGCGAAAGCCUGGCGGAACAGCGCCGCGUGAGAGAUAAAGGCGUUGGGUGCGGAAAAAUCUGUUAUGAGGGAAAAACAAAUGUGUAAGGAACUGUGCACGUCUUGACGGUACCUAAUAAGAAAGCACCGGCUAACUACGUG
rnacentral:rRNA from 1 species